rnacentral:rRNA from 1 species
AGCAGCCGCGGUAAUUCCAGCUCCAAUAGCGUAUAUUAAAGUUGUUGCAGUUAAAAGCUGUAGUUGAAUUUCGGGAUUCUUCCGUUGGUCAGGCUAACAAGUCUGUACUAGCGUGUAGAUCUCUACCUUCUGGGGAACCAUCAUGUUAUUAAUUUAGCGUGGUGGGAAACCAGGACCUUACCUUGAAAAAAUUAGAGUGUUCAAAGCAGGCUUACGUCUGAAU